GACUAUUCUCGGGGAGGGGGCAGGGCGGAGACGCAGGGCGCCUCCCGCUCCUCGCCUGUCCCAAGGGGGCGCGAAGGUCACACGGCCCAUCUCCAGGGGAAAGCACCUCCCUGAGGGGUGCGCGCCGGGCACGCAGACGGGACUCGGGAACGCGGCCUCGUGCCCCUUUCCAAAGCUCUUUCGCGGCCACCACUCCUGUGCAAUCCCUCUCGGCGGCCCGCGGAGGCAGGAUAAGUUAAGCGAAGAGGAGAAGGCGAUGGGACCAUGGAGAAGACAAAUAGACUCUCAACCGUAAGCCAGAGAAUGGCGUCCGCCGCCAGAUGCAAGGAAACGCUUCUCCGCUAGAGCCCUCAGACGGUGGCAGUCCAGCUGCCAUUUUAGCCCAGUGACACUGAUUAUGGAUUUCUGGCCUCCAGGACACAUGGCUCCUGGCUGUCUCUUGAGGGAAGGAAAGCCUUUGCCACCUUGCCAAGCCAUCAGACUCCCACUCUUCCUUCGAGAGAACAGGUGCUGAGAAAAGCACCCCCCUCAUGGGUCUGGAUGAAAUAUGCACACGCCUUGGCCAAAUGCUUACUGAAGCGCAGUGUCAUUAUAUACGACGCUGUAUAUAAUGAUCUGCUUAAAUGUCUGUCUCCCUCACUUGACUUGAGGGCAGGGACUGAUUCUGAUCUAUCUUUGUGCCUCCGGCACCCAGCGCGGUUACAAGAGCUGUUAAAUAAAUGUGAAGUAAAUGAAUGAAAAAGAAAUAAAUGAGUCUCAGAAUUCUAGUCUCAUAAUUCCACACAUAAAAUCGAAGACCCUUGCCUCACAUGACCGCAAAGACGGGAGGUUCUUGGAGAAGAACUUUCUGAGGCUGUUGAUCUUUCUGACUAGCAUCCACCGUUAGUAAUGCACUUUAUGUCGCUGUCCAGUGUGAACACACACACACACACACACGCCUAGACACACAUACACACGCACAGAA